rnacentral:rRNA from 1 species
UGGGGAAUCUUGUGCAAUGGGCGAAAGCCUGACACAGCGACGCCGCGUGCGGGAUGAAGGCCUUCGGGUUGUAAACCGCUUUCAGCAGGGACGAAGCUGACGUGACGGUACCUGCAGAAGAAGGUCCGGCCAACUACGUGCCAGCAGCCGCGGUAAUACGUAGGGACCGAGCGUUGUCCGGAUUUAUUGGGCGUAAAGAGCUCGUAGGCGGCUGUUCAAGUCGAGUGUGAAAACUCGGGGCUCAACUCCGAGCCUGCACUCGAUACUGGACGGCUAGAGUCUGGUAGGGGGAUCUGGAACUCCUGGUGUAGCGGUGGAAUGCGCAGAUAUCAGGAAGAACACCGGUGGCGAAGGCGGGAUCCUGGGCCAGUACUGACGCUGAGGAGCGAAAGCGUGGGGAGCAAACAG